ensembl:lncRNA
CUCACUGCAAGCUCCGCCUCCCGGGUUCGCGCCAUUCUCCUUCCUCAGCCUCCCAGAAGCUGGGGCUACAGGCGCGGCCACCACGCCCGGUUAAUUUUUUGUGUGUGUGAUUUUAGUAGAGACGGGGUUUCACCGUGUUGGCCAGGAUGGUCUCGAUCUCCUGACCUUGUGAUCCACCCUCCUCGGCCUCCCAAAGUGGUGGGAUUACAGGCGUGAGCCACCAAGCACGGCAUUUUUUUUUUUUAAUCUAAAAUAAGGCCACUAGUACUACUUCCUUCCUCCCCUUUCAAUGCUAAUAGAGAAGAGAUCAACUCUCUGACUUACCUAGAAGCUGAGCUAGGAUUCGAAUCCAGUUCCCUGACUCCUCUUCUGGUUCUCCAGCAACUCAGCCACAUGGAUUCUUUCUCUUACACACAGGCUCUUUUUGGCCACAGUAAACACACUGACCUUUGAAAUAUGGAAAGAAAAGCGCUUUGAAAUAAAACUGGCACAAACAGCAGUCAGACAGCCGUCAUCUGGAGGCUGAAACAAAGAGGAGCAUAGUUUUCAAGCUGUCUUCGUAAUUACACGAAGCAGUUAUCACUCAGGCCCCAGUCUGCGCAUUGCCCCCCAAACAAACAGCCGAGGGCUGAGAGAGCACAUAGGCCACUUUGUUGCGCCAGCAUACUGGGGAGUGGAGAGCCCCCCCAGCUAAAAUCACAUGUGGCUUGGAGUGUUUUCCAGGACUUCAGGCUUUUUCCUUUCUUCCUUCCCCAUUAAACCCCUCUGCUCUUCUUGGCAAAGGCCUUCAGGUGAGAUGCUGUUGAUGCCUGGCCAUAUCCUCUUGUCCUUGCCACUAGAGUGCAUGCCGGUGGGACUUCUAACUGUCAGAACCUGCAUUUCUUUGCCUGAGUCCUUUCUCUGGCCCCAAAGUUGCUUGACUGCUCCAUGGAACGGCUGAAAGCACUGAGAAUUAGCAUCCUCCCACCCUACCCUAGACGCCCUCAAGCAGUGAGAGAUGGAACUGAGAUGAUGUUCUAUCCAGCCAGCCAACAAUUCUCAAGCGGAGUGGCUCUAGAAACUCAGCUCUUGAAAACAUCACGGAGCUUUAUCAGUGAUAAGGCCAAGAGGUUGCAACUACUGUUAUCUUUGGACACACAAAAGAAUCACCUGGUCCAGACCCUUGCUUCCUCUCCUCCUGCCCUUGGACAUCAGACUCCAGGUUCCUCAGCCUUUGGAUUCUGGGACUUGCACCAGGGGCCUUCCCGGGACUCUUGGGCCUUUGGCCUCAUACUGAGGGCUGCACCGUCAGCUUUUCUGGUUUGAGGUUUUUGGUCUUGGAAUGAGCUAUGCUAUGGGCUUCUCUUUCCCCAGCUUGCAGACGGCCUGUCUUGGGACUUUGCCUUGUAAUUGUAUGAACCAAUUCUCGCUAUAAAUUCCCUUUUGUAUAUACAUAUAUCCUAUUGGUUCUCUCCCUAUGGAGAACCCUGACUAAAACAGGGUCCUAGAAAGAACACAACUCAUAAUUAUAGAAUAAUAUUAUAGCUGUCAUAUACUGAAAGCUUUCUAUGUGGUAGACACUUUGUGUAAGUUACGUUCAUCCCUGAUAACACCAAUGCAAGUUACUAUUCCACUUUACAGAUGGGAAACUGAGGCUCAGAAAGGUAAGGCAACUUUCACUAGUCCACAUAGGCUAAGGGGCAGAGCCUGGCUCUGUUUACUUUUCCAGGGUUCCUGACAAUACCCUUUGAUUGCCCUGCAGCUGGGAAGGAAAUUAGCUAUCUUUUAGGCUUCAGCUCUCUGCUGCGCAUUCCUCCUUUCCAGCAUUUUCCAUGAUGGUUUUCCUUGGAAUACUGGCCUGAAAGCAAGGCUAACUACAUAACUUGCUGAGACCAGUGCAAAAUAAAAACACAGCUCUUUGUUGAAAAAGCAGAAAAAAAAGUACCCUUAAAGUUAUUAAAAUAUAAAACCUUUUCCAUUAUUCUGUCUUCUCUUUUGACUUAUUAUGGUUUAUUAUUUAAUGUCAUUCUAAGUAAAGAAAAAUUAAAAUUUUAAAUUAUUAGCAUAAAUUUUGCUGUUCAUUUUUAUAUUGUGUGAUGCCAGUUUUGAAUCCAAAUGCAAGAGCAUAUGCAGAAUUACUGAAAUGACACAAUUUCUAUUUUGCAGCUUGUAUAUGCAUAUGUAUUUUGUACUUUCCACAAGAGAGGAAAGGCUGCCCUGUUUUUAUUUCCCUUCUUGAUAUCUGCACAUUCUACCAAUACUCUCUAUCUCUGACUUAUUGAUGAGUAAGAAGGACUGAAAGCAGAAGAAACUAUGGCUUGAGCCAUCUUCCCCUUUCCUUCCAUGUCAUUUUCAGCAAAAGUAGCUAAUACAGGGAAGUCACAUGGAUAAGAAAUCAUAUCAUAGAAUUCCCAGAUUGCCAACAUUUCUUAGAAUUCCCUUGCUGUCUUUUUCUGUUCAAGGCACACUCUGGUUCAGACAGAAAGUGUGGGCUCUUGGGACUGUCAGCAUCCUCAGCUCACUCAGUUUUAAAUGUUAUCUCAUACUCACUUUCCAGCUUGCUGAUCUUGCCUGCUUCAUGGGACCACCUGAAUUGUGUUUACGGGGCACCACAAACACUCUAUGAGAGUAGGGUGGCAAGAAAUGGCAGACACAUAUAUUGUGCCUGUCUUCUCUGUUCAUGUACAUGCUCCAUUGUCUCAUGGGACUCCACUUGCAAAACACAAGUCGUAUAAUAAAAUUACUGAGAUUUUCAAGUUGAUGACACUAGAGCAUUAAACCAAUCAAGUAGCCCCUUGAGCACAGACUCUGAGUGACUCUGUAGGUCGUACACCCAUGAAGCUGGCCCUGCCUGGGCGAUGUUAAGAGGUGGGCUCUAGGAGGAAGAUUCUACAAGUCAAACUGCGAAAACUUCCUCUAGAUCUCUUAUCACACUUAACCACUUUCCAACUUUCUCUCACAGACUUUGUCUCACCACUGGGCUCUUUCAACUGAUCCCAUUUGAAAGUCUUCAACUCAAUCAGGCUUUGAGAAGCAAAGGACAGUCUGGCAUGGUGGCUCACGUCUGUAAUCCCAGCACUUUUGGAGACUGAGGCAUGUGGAUUGCCUGAGGUCAGGAGUUCGAGACCACCCUGGCCAAUAUGGCAAAAUGCCAUCUCUACCAAAAAUACAAAAAUGAGCUGGACAUUGUGGCGUGCACCUGUAAUCCCAGCUACUUGGGAGGCUGAGGCAGGAGAAUCGCUUGAACUUGGGAGCGGUUGCAGUUAGCUGAGAUUGCACCACUGCACUCCAGCCUGGGCAACAGAGUGAGACUCCAUCAAAAAAAAAAAAAAAAAAAAGCAGCAAAGGAAGAGAAACCUCAGGCCAGGCCAUUAUCUCAGCUGUUCAGAAUCACACCUGGCCUCAAUAAUUGUACAUAUCUUUCCAGUGGCCAAACUUCCACCUCACACACUGGUUUUAUGCCCCAUUCUGGUUCAUACGUAACUCUCACACCCCAUCUGAGUCUAUACAUUAGUGGAGGUACUUUUGGUAUAGUCCAUACUUUAGUACCCUAGAAAAAAAUUUUAAUGAUAGAAAGAAAUCCAGUUGCUUAAAACUCUAUUCUUUGCCUUGUGUGCAUUUUCCUUUUGUUUUUAUUCAAUAUUCAGCAAGCACUGGCCAAGGAGCUUCUGCUACGAGGGAGAUCUCUUUUAGGAGUGAGAAUAUACAAAAGUAAAGAUGUCGUAUCUCUGACCUCGAGACAGCCAUGGUCUGCUGCCUUCUGACACUGACACUUUGUACUAAAUGUGUAAUUUAAAUUAAAAAAUGUUCCAGGCGGCUCCCUCAUUUGGCUCCUUUUUAUCCCAGCAGUGUGGUUUCUGAGAUAAAUGUGAGGGCAGGUGCCCUAGGGUCAUUUUCCUAGAUUAGCCCUCCAUGCUCUCUCUUUAAGAAGUGAUUUUUUAACACAAACUGCACCCUAUAUUUAAGUAAAGAAGGUACUCUCCUUAAUCCUGAAUGUUUGGCCAAAAUUUUCAAAACUCUCUAACUAUGGCUUUCUAACUUAUUUCCAGAUUUAACCUCAAAGAAUUACACAAGGUUUCAAGUGUGUGUGGCUUCUAUUUCCCUUAACUCCUAGUCAACCAUUUCACUGCAUUGAACUUCUCUUAUCUUGCAUUUUAAACUCCUUUUCUUAAGAGCAUUUUUUGUUUGUUCAAGAAACACUUUAUUUUUUUAAAUCGUUUUAACUGACACAAUAACUGUGCAUGUUUAUGGAGUAGUGAUGUUUCCAUACAUACAAUGUAUAGUGAUCAGAUCAGGGCACUUAGCAUAUUCAUCAGCUCAAACAUUUAUCAUUCCUUUGUGUUGGGAAUAUUCAAUCCCCUCUUUUAAGCUAUUUGAAGCGGCAUGUUAUUGUUAACUAUCGUCCUCCUACAGUGUUAUAGAACACUAGCAUUUAUUCCUUCUGUCUAACUUUUUAUCCUUUAACAAAUCUCUCCCGAUUCCCCUGACUUUAGAGCAUGUUUUUAUCUCAGUGCCGAGGGUGGUGAGCACUUCCACUUCUAAAUUUGAAUUUGCAAAAGAUCAGCCAUGAAUGGUUAUAGGUCUGUGGACACUUUAAUCUCACUACUGAGGUGACAGUUCCAUUUUAAAGAUGGUGGAUUGAAAAAUUAUAGUUAAAAUUACACUCUUUCCUGAAGUGCUGAUGAAAUUAGUGAUGGGAGAAGGAAGAAAUUGCUCUUUGUUUAAAAUCGCUUUGUCUGUGAUUUGGGAAAUGGAAUUAUCAUCAAUUCUGCUUAAUAAUGGACAAAGUUCUAGUUAUUUAUUUAUUUAGAGACAGAGUCUGACUUUAUCACCCAGGCUGGAGUACAGUCACCUGAAUCUCAGCUCCCUGCAUCCUCUGCCUCCUGGGUUCAAGCAAUUCUUCUGCCUCAGCCACCCGAGUAGCUGGGACUACAGGCAUGUGCCACUGUGUCCAGCUAAUUUUUGUAUUUUUUGGUAGAGAUGGGGUUUCACCAUGUUGGUCAGGCUGGUCUCAAAUUCCUGGCUUGAAGCUCUCUACCCACCUCAGCCUCCCAAAGUGCUGGGAUUACAGGUGUGAGCCAGUGUGCCCGGCCACAAAGUUCUAUGUAUUACUUAUUAGUCAUACAUCCAUUCAUGCAUUCAUCUAUUAUUUCAAUAGUUUCUUACAGUUUUACCCUAUGUCAGUUACUGUACUAAGCUCUGAGAAUACAACAGUAAAAAAGACAUGGCCCCUGCCCUCUAGGCAGCCUGACAAUGCAAAGGUAAUGUAAUACAAGAAGAAUAUGGGAAAGGCAGCAAAUCUGUUCAUGAGGAAGAUUAGAGAAGAUGGUGUUUUUUGGUUUUCCACAGAGAUGAGGUCUUGCCAUGUCGCCCAAACUGGUCUUAAACUCCUGGGCUCAGGCAUUCCUCCUGCUUUGGCCUCUUAGAGUGCUGGGAUUACAGGCCUGAAUCACUGCACUGGACAUUAGGGAAGAUGUUCUGAAACAAACAAACAAACAAAAUAGCGUGGCAUCUUGAUCACUGGUUUUCAAAUUUUAGGGAACUCUUUAAUUCUAUAGCUGUAAAGCAGCCAAGAAUCGUCAUGUUACACAAGUAUCACAGGUGAUUCUAAUGCAGAGAUCUUCAGAGUACUCUUCAAAAAUAAUGUAUCUUGGCUGCAUUGUUUUCGUAUAUGUGUUAUUCUUGAAAACCAAAAUGCAAUAUUAAUUAUUUUCUUUUUGCAAUGAGAAGCACAAUUUGAUAACUGCAUUACAGAGAAAUCCAUCAUUCACUUUUAUUUUUCUCCCAUAAAAAGAGUGUGGGAUUUUUGUCAUGAUAUUCAACAAUCAUUUGUUGAGCUAUCAAAGGGUUUGCCUCAAGACCCACCAUUACUAUGAAGAUUUGAGCCAUGCUAAUGGUCAAAAUAUUUUUGUAGAAAAGAGUCAUGCAUUUUGAGAAUGUAGAAAUGGAUAUAU